UCGCUUCCGGAAGUGUCUACUGCGGCACCAUGCUAUCCGAGCUGGGUUUAAUCGGGACCAUAGGCGAAGAUGACGAGGUGCCGGUGGAGCCCGAGUCUGACUCCGGAGACGAGGAAGAGGAGCUCCAUGGUCACCCUGCCUCUCCGUCUUCCCAGGGGCCCAUUGUGCUGGGCAGAAGGCAGAAAGCCUUGCAGAAGAACCGCAGUGCCGAUUUCAACCCUGAUUUCAUUUUCACUGAGAAGGAGGGGAUGUAUGAUGGCAGCUGGGCCCUGGCUGAUGUCAUGAGCCAGCUCAAGAAGAAGAGGGCUGCCACUACGUUAGAUGAGAAGAUUGAGAAAGUUCGAAAGAAAAGGAAAACAGAGGGUAAAGAAGCCAAGUCUGGGAACUUGGAGAAGGAGAAAGAAGGAGAGGAAGGCUCUAAACCACAGGAGCAGGAAGACCUUGAAGGGAAAGAUAAGGAAGGUUCAGAAGAUGAAGAAUCGGAGACCGACUACUCAUCGGCUGAUGAGACCAUCCUCACCAAAGCAGAUACACUCAAGGUAAAGGAGAAGAAGAAGAAGAAGAGAGGACAGGAAGCAGGAGGAUUUUUUGAAGAUGCAUCUCAGUAUGAUGAAAACCUCUCAUUCCAGGACAUGAACCUUUCGCGCCCUCUGUUGAAGGCCAUUACAGCCAUGGGCUUCAAGCAGCCCACCCCAAUCCAGAAGGCGUGCAUACCUGUGGGACUCUUGGGGAAGGACAUCUGUGCCUGUGCAGCCACUGGGACAGGUAAAACUGCUGCUUUUGCCCUGCCCGUCCUGGAGCGGCUGAUCUACAAACCCCGCCAGGCUCCAGUGACCCGCGUGCUGGUGCUGGUCCCUACCCGAGAGCUGGGCAUCCAGGUACACUCUGUCACCAAGCAGCUAGCCCAGUUCUGCAAUAUCACCACCUGCCUGGCUGUGGGUGGCCUGGAUGUGAAGUCUCAGGAAGCAGUUCUUCGGGCAGCGCCUGACAUCCUCAUUGCCACCCCAGGUCGGCUCAUUGAUCACCUCCACAACUGCCCUUCCUUCCACCUGAAUAGCAUCGAAGUGCUCAUACUCGAUGAGGCUGACAGGAUGCUGGACGAGUACUUUGAGGAGCAGAUGAAGGAGAUCAUUCGAAUGUGUUCCCACCACCGCCAGACGAUGCUCUUCUCGGCCACCAUGACGGACGAGGUGAAAGACCUGGCUUCUGUCUCCUUGAAGAAUCCCGUCCGCAUAUUUGUGAACAGCAACACGGACGUGGCUCCCUUCUUGCGGCAGGAAUUCAUACGGAUCCGGCCCAAUCGGGAAGGAGACCGGGAAGCCAUCGUGGCAGCUCUGUUGACGAGAACCUUUACCGACCACGUGAUGCUGUUCACCCAGACCAAGAAACAGGCGCACCGCAUGCACAUCCUCCUGGGGCUCAUGGGGCUGCAGGUGGGCGAGCUGCAUGGCAACCUGUCCCAGACGCAGCGGCUGGAGGCCCUCCGGCGCUUUAAGGAUGAACAGAUUGACAUCCUCGUGGCCACAGAUGUGGCAGCCCGUGGUCUUGACAUUGAGGGGGUCAAAACGGUCAUCAACUUCACGAUGCCCAAUACUAUCAAGCAUUACGUCCACCGGGUGGGGCGAACAGCGCGUGCCGGCAGGGCUGGGCGCUCGGUCUCUCUGGUGGGAGAAGAGGAGCGGAAAAUGCUGAAGGAGAUCGUGAAGGCCGCCAAGGCCCCUGUGAAGGCUCGGAUACUCCCCCAAGAUGUUAUCCUCAAAUUCCGGGACAAAAUCGAGAAAAUGGAGAAAGACGUGUAUGCCGUUCUGCAGCUAGAGGCAGAGGAAAAGGAGAUGCAGCAGUCGGAAGCGCAGAUCAACACAGCAAAGCGGCUCCUGGAGAAGGGGAAGGAGGCCCGGGACCAAGAGCCUGAGAGGAGCUGGUUCCAGACCAAAGAAGAGAGGAAGAAGGAAAAAAUUGCCAAGGCUCUGCAGGAAUUUGACUUGGCCUUAAGAGGAAAGAAGAAAAGGAAGAAGUUCAUGAAGGAUGCCAAGAAAAAGGGGGAGAUGACGGCAGAGGAAAGGUCUCAGUUUGAAAUCCUCAAGGCGCAGAUGUUUGCUGAGCGACUGGCCAAGAGGAAUCGCAGAGCCAAGCGAGCCCGAGCAAUGCCUGAGGAGGAACCAGCGAGAGGCCCUGCCAAGAAGCAAAAGCAGGGGAAGAAAUCUGUAUUUGAUGAAGAACUCACCAACACGAGCAAGAAGGCCCUGAAACAGUAUCGAGCUGGCCCUUCCUUUGAAGAAAGGAAAAAGUUGGGCUUGCCCCACCAGAGACGAGGAGGAAACUUUAAAUCUAAAUCCAGAUACAAGAGGAGGAAGUAACUGUGGCAACCUGGAGAAGUUCAUGGGGCAACCCUUAACUCCCUUCCCUGUGGGAAGUCAUCCUGGCUUGAAGUAAAAGCUAUUAUUGAGCACCAACCACGUGCCAGACAUUCUGUGUGCUGAGCAGUGACUAACUCAACUCACUGCACCCCUAUGAUCUCCAUUUUGCUGAUAAAGAGGCUUGGAAAGCCUGACUUUCCAGAGUUACAUACCCGGGAAUCCAGAUUUUUGAAGCCAGUGUCUACUUGAACCCAUGCCCUGACUCUUACUGCUAUACUGUGGAAGUGCUGCUGGAGAAAUGGAAGCUGAAAGAGGACAAAAGGAGCCCCGACACCAUAAAUUAGCACCUCAUUGCAGAAACCAGCUUUUACCCUGUAGAGUGGUGGUUAUCAUCCUUUUCUGAAUCACAGGUCAGAAAUUUGAGAAUUACCUGAAAGCUGUGAGGUUACCCCUUGGGAAAACUUUUUCGUAGUUCAUGUCAUAUAUAAUUCCAGGGAGUACACAGACAUCCCCCUUCCCCAGCUUAAAAAUUAUAAUAGUUACCCUGUAGCACACACCCUGGACACUAAAGGGUGUGUUCAAAGCUCUUUAUUCAGGCUGUACCUAAGAGUCACCAACAGAAGUUCCAAUCAAGAAAAUGGUGGUACCCUUGUGAUGGAGUUUGGAUGUAUUGUCCUCCCAGAAUUCAUGGAAAUUUGAUCCCAAAUGUGGCAGUGUUGGAAACUG